UUUUUCGCUUUUCAUGUAUAAAUCGCUUUGAAAAUUUUGACUUUUCGACUGAAGAUGAGGGUGUAACCUCGAAACUAGUCUCGAUAUAUAUUUAAAUAAAAGCAAGCUAAAGAAGUUUUUUCUAGUA